rnacentral:rRNA from 1 species
GACAGAGGGGGCAAGCGUUGCUCGGAAUUACUGGGCGUAAAGGGCGCGUAGGCGGGAUGGUAAGUCGGUCGUGAAAUCCCUCGGCUCAACCGAGGAACGUCGAUCGAUACUACCGUUCUUGAGGAUUGCAGAGGAGACCGGAAUUCCCGGUGUAGCGGUGAAAUGUGUAGAGAUCGGGAGGAACACCGGUGGCGAAGGCGGGUCUCUGGGCAAUUCCUGACGCUGAGGCGCGAAAGCGUGGGGAGCAAACGGG